UACAGGGGGUGCAAACGUUGCUCGGAAUUAUUGGGCGUAAAGCGCGCGUAGGCGGCCGCUUAAGUCGGAUGUGAAAGCCCCUGGCUCAACUGGGGAAGUGCACCCGAAACUGAGUGGCUUGAGUACUAAAGAGGGUCGCGGAAUUCCCCAAGUAGAGGUGAAAUUCGUAGAUAUCUGGAGGAACACCGGUGGCGAAGGCGGCAUCCUGGACCGGCAUUGACGCUGAGGCGCGAAAGCCAGGGGAGCAAACGGG
rnacentral:rRNA from 1 species